CCUACGGGUGGCAGCAGUGGGGGAUAUUGCACAAUGGGGGAAACCCUGAUGCAGCGACGCCGCGUGGGUGAAGAAGCGCCUCGGCGCGUAAAGCCCUGUCAGCAGGGAAGAAAAUGACGGUACCUGAAGAAGAAGCCCCGGCUAACUACGUGCCAGCAGCCGCGGUAAUACGUAGGGGGCAAGCGGUAUCCGGAUUUACUGGGUGUAAAGGGGGCGCAGACGGCGAUGCAAGCCAGGAGGUAAAGCCCGGGGCCCAACCCCGGGACUGCUCUUGGAACUGCGUGGCUAGAGUGCAGGAGGGGCAGGCGGAAUGCCUGGGGUAGCGGUGAAAUGCGUAGAUAUCAGGAGGAACACCGGUGGCGAAGGCGGCCUGCUGGACUGCAACUGACGUUGAGGCCCGAAAGCGUGGGGAGCAAACAGGAUUAGAUACCCCGGUAGUC
rnacentral:rRNA from 1 species